GUGCCAGCCGCCGCGGUAAUACGUAGGUCCCGAGCGUUGUCCGGAUUUAUUGGGCGUAAAGCGAGCGCAGGCGGUUAGAUAAGUCUGAAGUUAAAGGCUGUGGCUUAACCAUAGUACGCUUUGGAAACUGUUUAACUUGAGUGCAAGAGGGGAGAGUGGAAUUCCAUGUGUAGCGGUGAAAUGCGUAGAUAUAUGGAGGAACACCGGUGGCGAAAGCGGCUCUCUGGCUUGUAACUGACGCUGAGGCUCGAAAGCGUGGGAAGCAAACAGGAU
rnacentral:rRNA from 1 species